rnacentral:rRNA from 1 species
AGAGCGAACGCUGGCGGCAGGCCUAAUACAUGCAAGUCGAACGGAUCCUUCGGGAUUAGUGGCGGACGGGUGAGUAACACGUGGGAACGUACCCUUUGGUUCGGAACAACUCAGGGAAACUUGAGCUAAUACCGAAUGUGCCCUUCGGGGAAAAGAUUUAUCGCCAUUGGAGCGGCCCGCGUCUGAUUAGCUAGUUGGUAGGGUAAAGGCCUACCAAGGCUACGAUCAGUAGCUGGUCUGAGAGGAUGAUCAGCCACACUGGGACUGAGACACGGCCCAGACUCCUACGGGAGGCAGCAGUAGGGAAUCUUGCGCAAUGGGCGAAAGCCUGACGCAGCCAUGCCGCGUGAAUGAUGAAGGUCUUAGGAUUGUAAAAUUCUUUCAGCGGGACGAUAAUGACGGUACCCGCAGAAGAAGCCCGGCUAACUUCGCGCCAGCACGCCGC